rnacentral:rRNA from 1 species
GAGUUUGAUCCUGGCUCAGGAUGAACGCUGGCGGCGUGCCUAAUGCAUGCAAGUCGAACGAGGUCGGUCCUUCGGGGCCCAAACCUAGUGGCAGACGGCUGAGUAACGCGUGGGUGACCUGCCCCCGAGAACGGGAUAACUGCGGGAAACUGCAGCUAAUACCGUAUACAUUCCCGUGCUUCAAUGCGCGGGAAGAAAGAUUUAUCGCUCGGGGAUGGGCCCGCGUCCUAUCAGGUAGUUGGUGCGGUAACGGCGCACCAAGCCGAAAACGGGUAUCUGGUGUGAGAGCAUGACCAGACAGAGGGGGACUGAGACACGGCCCCCACUCCUCCGGGAGGCAGCAGCAAGGGAUCGUGCACAAUGGGCGAAAGCCUGAUGCCGCGACGCCGCGUGAGGGAUGACGGCUUUCGAGUUGUAAACCUCUUUUCUCAGGGAAGAGAGAGGACGUCACCUGAGGAAUAAGUCACGGCUAACUACGUGCCAGCAGCCGCGGUAAUAC